UUUCCGUGGAGAGGAACAAAUCUGAGU
rnacentral:piRNA from 2 species